rnacentral:rRNA from 1 species
UACAGAGGUCCCGAGCGGUGUUCGGAUUCACUGGGCGUAAAGGGCGCGUAGGUGGUUCGAUAAGUCUGGUGUGAAAGCCCAGAGCCCAACUUUGGAAUUGCACUAGAAACUAUCGAGCUCGAGUCUAGGAGGGGGGAGUGGAAUUCUUGGUGUAGCAGUGAAAUGCGUAGAUAUCAAGAGGAACACCGGUGGCGAAGGCGACUCCCUGGACUAGUACUGACACUGAGGCGCGAAAGCCAGGGGAGCAAACGGG